rnacentral:tRNA from 1 species
AGCCCCGUGGUGUAGCGGUCAAGCAUAGUGGGUUUUGGCCUCACUGACCCAGGUUCGAGUCCUGGCGGGGCUACCA